AAUAGAUACCCGGGUAGUCCACGCCGUAAACGAUGAGUGCUAAGUGUUGGGGGUUUCCGCCCCUCAGUGCUGCAGCUAACGCAUUAAGCACUCCGCCUGGGGAGUACGGUCGCAAGACUGAAACUCAAAGGAAUUGACGGGGGCCCGCACAAGCGGUGGAGCAUGUGGUUUAAUUCGAAGCAACGCGAAGAACCUUACCAGGUCUUGACAUCCCGGUGACCACUAUGGAGACAUAGUUUCCCCUUCGGGGGCAACGGUGACAGGUGGUGCAUGGUUGUCGUCAGCUCGUGUCGUGAGAUGUUGGGUUAAGUCCCGCAACGAGCGCAACCCUUAUUCUUAGUUGCCAUCAUUCAGUUGGGCACUCUAAGGAGACUGCCGGUGAUAAACCGGAGGAAGGUGGGGAUGACGUCAAAUCAUCAUGCCCCUUAUGACCUGGGCUACACACGUGCUACAAUGGACGGUACAAACGGUUGCCAACCCGCGAGGGGAGCUAAUCCGAUAAAACCGUUCUCAGUUCGGAUUGUAGGCUGCAACUCGCCUACA
rnacentral:rRNA from 1 species